UCAUUUACCGGCAUCGGUUUUUGAUCAAAUAUUUAUAGGAUAUGGAUGGGCUCGCGUGACAUUAGCUAGUUGGAGAGGUAACGGCUCACCAAGGCUACGAUGUCUAGGGGCUCUGAGAGGAGAAUCCCCCACACUGGUACUGAGACACGGACCAGACUCCUACGGGAGGCAGCAGUAAGGAAUAUUGGUCAAUGGAGGCAACUCUGAACCAGCCAUGCCGCGUGCAGGAUGACUGCCCUAUGGGUUGUAAACUGCUUUUGUCAGGGAAUAAACCUUUCUACGUGUAGAAAGCUGAAUGUACCUGAAGAAUAAGGAUCGGCUAACUCCGUGCCAGCAGCCGCGGUAAUACGGAGGAUCCAAGCGUUAUCCGGAUUUAUUGGGUUUAAAGGGUGCGUAGGCGGUCCUAUAAGUCAGUGGUGAAAGACGGCAGCUUAACUGUCGCAGUGCCUUUGAUACUGUAGGACUUGAAUCUAUUUGAAGUGGGCGGAAUAAGACAAGUAGCGGUGAAAUGCAUAGAUAUGUCUUAGAACUCCGAUUGCGAAGGCAGCUCACUAAGUUAGUAUUGACGCUGAUGCACGAAAGCGUKGGGAUCAAACAGGAUUAGRAUACCYUGGUWSUCCACGCCCUAAACGAUGAUAACUCGAUGUUUGCGAUACACAGUAAGCGUCCAAGCGAAAGCGUUAAGUUAUCCACCUGGGGAGUACGGUCGCAAGAUUGAAACUCAAAGGAAUUGACGGGGGCCCGCACAAGCGGAGGAGCAUGUGGUUUAAUUCGAUGAUACGCGAGGAACCUUACCCGGGCUUGAAAGUUAGUGAAUGAUCCAGAGACGGAUCAGUCCUUCGGGACACGAAACUAGGUGCUGCAUGGCUGUCGUCAGCUCGUGCCGUGAGGUGUUGGGUUAAGUCCCGCAACGAGCGCAACCCCUAUGUUUAGUUGCCAGCAUGUUAUGAUGGGGACUCUAAACAGACUGCCAGCGUAAGCUGUGAGGAAGGUGGGGACGACGUCAAGUCAUCAUGGCCCUUACGUCCGGGGCUACACACGUGCUACAAUGGACGGUACAGCGGGCAGCUACAUAGCAAUAUGAUGCUAAUCUCUAAAAGCCGUUCACAGUUCGGAUUGAGGUCUGCAA
rnacentral:rRNA from 1 species